rnacentral:lncRNA from 1 species
CAGGUCUGAUUACAAAUAAUGUAAUCUCAGGCACAAGAUGGUAUCAGAAAGAAGAGCAUAUCAGAAAAUCAGGGAUUCAGGGAGUGCGAGCUGGAAGUCCUCUUGGCGUUGGUCAUCUCAUCUACUUGCCACAGGCAGGGCUGUACCUCCUUUGGCCCUGAGAGAUGAUUAUGGAACCUGAAGGAUCUGGAGAUGGGUCCACCCUUCACCAUCAGUGGUCACAUCAGCAGCACAGAUGGUGGCUACAUGAAGUUCUCCAACGGGCUAGUCUGAUGCAGAGACAGCAACUUGUGAAGCCCUGGGGAGGAGGCCUCCCAGAAAGCGCCAGCUGGGCCAAAUGCCCGCUCUCCACACGCCAUCGACCCCUGUGCACAUCCCCAUGACAGCCCAUACAGUCGGUGCCUCCCGUCCUCCUGGCCUGACAAAGUCUCGUCUGCAGUGCCCACUGCCUGCCAUCUGCUUACUGCCCAGCUCCUCCAGUUCUGGGGGAGCCCAUGCAGCUCUGUGCACUGCAUCAGGAGGACUGCGGUAUGGAGAUUAGACUGAGGGAGCAGGAGUGGAUGCAGAGGAGCAGGACAGAGCCUCAUGGUGGUCCAGGGGAGAGGUGAAGAUGAAUUUGACCAGAUGACAGUGGGAGGUGGUGACAAGUGAUUGGAUUCACCAUCUAUCUGGAAGGUAGAGCUGAUAGGACUUACUAAGGAGUUUGAUGGGGCAGAAAGGGCUGACUCCUGGAUUUUUGGCCUGAACUAGGGGAAAGGUGGUGCCAUUUAUCAGGUGGGGAAGACUAGGGGAGGAAGGAGUGUCAGGGGAAUCAUGAGCUCUGUUGUAGACACUAUAAUUUUGAGAUGUAUGCUGGACGGAGCUGCUGAUGAGGCAGCUGGAUAGAGUUCUGGAGAGAAACCCUGUUUGGACAUUUGGAAGCCACCAGCAUCCAGAUAACACUUAAAGGUGUGGACUGGGUGAUAACAAGUAGGGGGCAGUGAGGAGAAAAAGGACUGAUUUUAAUAGAACAAGCAGCGAAUCAACAAGUUGUUCCUUAAAGAGGUGACUCAGUGUGUGCUGGAAUCACCUGCAAUGUGGUCGCUAUAAGUUGUUUCCCUAGCAGGUCCUUGGGAACCGGUAUUCAGAAAUUCUGGGCCUUGGGGAGCAGCUUAGGAAGACAAAUACUCCCAUGUAAUUCUGAUAGAGGCAAUCUUCUGAGAAACUCUGCCUUAGGGGACAGGUAGAGGGGAUGUGGGGAGGUGGAGGGCAAGGGUCACUUCCAGGGCUGGGGUGACCAGAUAGUAGGAUUCUGAAGAAUGUUCCUGUUCUCUCCAGGGUCACUGUGAGGUCUUAAUCUCCACCACGCCCUUCUGCCCCAUGUGGGUAGAGGUAGACAGGUGUGGCACCCUACACCCAGGCCUUUGCAGAUCAUGUACUAGUCUGUACCCCUCCCUGAGCCUCUCAGCUCUACAGAUUAGACAACUUACUAAAGGGAGCCCUCAGCUGCACCCUUGAUGAUGGGCUGUGAUUGACCAAGGAGCCCCAGUGAGGCUCCUGGCUGGGCUCUGCAAGACAGAUGCCAAACACAGCCGUGGCUCCUGUGACUCGAUGAGUUGAAGGGAUGGCAGCCUGCUUUUCCUCAAGGCAGGAAGUCAUCGCGUGAAUAUUCUAACUGUAUUGGCUGCAGGGGUUUGGGGAUCUUCUCCAAGCCGGCGUCCUUACCUUCACACUAAGGGCUAUGAGCUCAUUCACUCUCACAUGGGAAUCCCUAACCCUGAGCCUCACAGAUCCAGGCCAGCCUUGCCAAUUGCUGAAAGACCUUUUCUUGGAUGACUUGUCAUUAUUAAGCCAGAACUCAUCAUCUCCCCUCUCCCUCCACACCUCUGUCUCCCUUCCAUGUCCAUAUUUCGCUUUUCUCAUCAUCGGGUUCAAGUGUGACUAGCACUUCUGAGACCUCCUUCUUUCACUCCAGCCUGUUGCCCCAUCUUGAUAAUGCUUCCUUUAAAAUGUCUUUGAGUCUGUCCCUUUCUCUCUGUUCCCACUGCCCCUGCUCAAUACUGUCAUUUGAUUAGACUAUUGUAUAAGCCUCUCUUAUGAACUGAAUAUUUUUGUCUUCCCCAAAUUCAUGUUGAAGCUGUCACUCCCAAUGUGACGGUAUUUGGAGGUAAAGCCUCUGGGAGGUAAUUGGUUUAGAUGAGGUCAUGAGGAUGGGGCCUCCAUGAUGGGAUUAGUGCCCUUGUAAGAAAGUGGAAGAGAGACCAGAGUUCUUUAUCUCCACCGUGUAAGGCCACAGCAAGAAGGAGGCCGUCUCCAAGCCAGGAAGAGAGCCCUCCCAGGGAACUCACUCAGCUGGCACCUUGAUCCUGCACUUCCCCACCUCCAGAACUGUGAGAGAUAAAUGUCUGUUGUUUAAGCCACCCAGUCCAUGGUGUUUUGUUAUAGUAGCCCAGCCUAAGACAGCCUCCUACCCUGUUUCUCUGCCUCCUGCCUCAUCCUUCAUGUGGAAUACUAGUUUCUUUCACAUCACUUAUCACUGAUUGUAGUAAUACGUUUGUUGUGUUUAUUUGCUUGGUGUUUAUCUUCAUAACCAGAUGACAGGCUCCAUGAAGCCACACUUGUUUGGUUCACCACUCUGUACCCAGGGCUGCACACCAUGUCCAACACAUAACAAGUGCUUCGUAAUGUUUUUUGACAAAAUGAAAUGCUGACUACAAUAAAAGUCUCCAGCCAGGUCUCUUUGCCUCCUGCCCCAUCCUUUCUGAUUCAUGUCUGAUGCUUUGGAUAGAGCCAUAUUCUUAAAACACAAGUUUUAUCCUACCCAGUCCUUCUUCGGCAGAGUGUUUAUUGGGUCCCACAACCCUUUUUGGAGGUUUAUGGGAAAUUAAGUGAAGUUAGGAUCGAGAUGAUAGUGGGAAAAUGUGCUGUGUGUCAUUAAUAACAAUGCAUUUAAUUUUAAAUUGGGGUUUACUUCAAACCCAAAACUGUGGGUUUGCUUUUUUAACCCAUGAGCACAACAGGAAAUGAAUGAGUCAAGCUUCCUAGUAUCUAGGGUCCUCUAGGUUGAGGCUUGAUCAAAUCAGCCCUGACUGCCCAGACCUGCCACUUAGGCAGCAGACCUGUCAGUGGUCCCAGGUGGUCACAGCCUACAGCUUCCCUUGCUGUGCUGUUCCCAUGUGGGGCUCAGAGACCUUCCACCCAGCAGAGCAGCAUGGGCUCUGGGGGUGGGACCCAGCUUCCUAGGGACUGUGUGUCUUCUGUGAAAGUGUGAACACUGAGGCCGGGGGAUGAAUAUAUGCUGGGUAGACAAGGCACACCCUGACUAUAGCUAUUUACAAAGUUGGGAAAACACAGUUUAUUGAAUUUCCUCUUCACUCAAUGGUGGCCCAUUUACCCCCUCUCUGUACUAAGAGGAAGUUCCAUUAGCUCACACAAAGACAGCAUUACGCAUUCCUCAGCUUGGAAAAGCCCUUGAAGGAGAUUGCUCAGUUGAAGAACAGCUGGGGCCUUCUGUUGGGGGCUGUAAUCCAAAUUCCCAAGAAAUCUGCAAGUGUCUCAUCAGCCCCGGCUGCUUGGAAGGACUCGCUCAGUUUCUCCCAAGGGCCUGUCUGUGGUGAGUGGUUACAGAGCAGCCUCAAAGCAGAGAUGAACCAGCGCAAACUCCUACUCAUUCCACAGAAACGGAGCAGGCAGGGCCUGCACCAAGGGCUGUGUCUUCUGACUUCCUUCUGUCCUGCAAGCUGCUCUUUGAUCUGUCGUAUCCAACCAAACUGGCUGCAGUUCCUUGAAUGUAAUUCCUUUUACUCUCUGAAUCUUUAUAUUUAGACCUUAGGGGCCUUUUCCAUGGGGAAUAAGCCAUCGCUAACACCUCAUUUCCAGGAGAAAGUGACCAACACUACUUUUCUUUCCAAUAUUGACAAGGAGGGCUCUAGGGCAAAAGCCUGAGCAGGUCUGAAAUGGCGUGAUAUUAGUCAAGUUCUCUGAAGAUGAUAGGAUCAGCACUUCCUCAGAACUAGUUAUUUUCUCAGAAUGAACUGGGUGAGGCAAGAUUGGAGAUGACACAGGGGAAAAGAGGUGAGGUGUCCCCAGUCACCUUCUAGGGGAUUCAGGUAGGACGAAGAGAAAAGCACACCCAGGAAGCUCAGGCCGCGGGCCUGGGUUUGUUCUACCCACUGGGCUGAGCAUGGGGAGAAAUUCAAACCCACAUGGGGUUUUUCAUGGAGGGAGCAGGCUGCUUCUAGAAUAGAGUGCAGAUGGCUUCCGCACUUAGGAGAACCACCACUGGGACAUGCCUCCUGGGCAAGGGGAGCCAGGGACAGGGCUCUGGGAACAGAGCUCCAGGGAGGCCCAGUUUGCUGUCUUCCUGGAAAGGAGGGGUUUCCAGGUUCUUCUCUCCACAUUGUCAGAACUCACAUCCAAAACGUUGCAUUGUGCUUUCCACCUCUUCCUUUUCUGUCUUCUGAAAGAGUCCCGCUGCACACUCCUUAUCGCUUUCAUUUUCACUUGUUUCCAAGAAAAGCUGUCCAUUUUUCUUUACAGACUCAACAGCCAAUGACAGCUAGUGGCACAUAGUACCACAUGCCUGGCACCAUGUUAAACUUUUUAUGUGCAAUUUCAUUUACACCUCACAACAUCCUCAUGGGGAGUUGUCAACUCCACGUGACAGGUGGGGAAAUUAAAACUUGGAGAGGAUAAGUAAUGGGCCCAAGGUCACAAUACAGGUAGCAUGAGGACUCCCUGGGUCUGUCAGAUUUAAGCCUGAGUCCUCAGCCCUGUUUCCUUAAAGUGACAUCACACAUCCCACACAUUAUUACCCUCCUCAUUAUCAACAACCGAGUCCUCCAUGAGCCAAUGUGCCAUCAGCAAUCUGACUAGUUUCACACGAUUCCUGUGGUCUUGACAAUUUAUUGGAAUAAAAAACAUGUAUCACUUAUUGACAGAGCUUUGUGUUCAAGGCACAUUCAUACCCAUUUCCUCAGCAGAA